GCUGGCCCGCGCCAGGGAGGGAGGAGAGGGACCAUCUCGCUUCGGGCUCCGGCUGGAAAGGCAGCCUUUGCGCUCGCCAGGUCUUGGGUCCUCUACAGACCCUGUCAGCUGGGGCUUCUCUGUUCCCGAAGUCUGAUCCGGGCGCGCUCAGGCUGCACAUCCCGCGUCCCAACCUGGACCGCGUCCUACCGCGGACCGCGGAUGAGGUGGCGGCGAAGCCUCGGGAGGACGGCCUUGGGCCUCACGCCGGUCUCCCCUCCUAAAAAACCAGGAUCCCAGGGCAUCCCAGGGGGAGCUUUUGAAGCGGAAAGGAGCUUCAGUUUAUGUUUAUGAAUUUAGCCGUCUCGAAUUUCGUGGUUAGACUAGCGGGUUCGUCUCCAGUGAGCUUUUGAUUGCUCGCUUUAGAGACAGGUGGACUACACUGGAGCGGGCCAAGAUCUUCCUCACAGAACUUGCAUCGUCUGAUUUUACUCAGAGACUUCAAAGAUAGCUGUCAUCCACCCUCUCACACCCUUUCUGGGGUUCGUGCUUCCAUGAUUCUUCACCUGGCUCUUACGUGGCCCUCCAUUUAAGACAACUCAUUCUGGUAUGCAAAGAAGCCUUUUCACGCAGAUGUUCUUAGAGAUAAUAUGGAUCAGUCCGGAGUUCUCCUCUGGGUGAAAGCAGAACCCUUUAUAGUGGGUGCCUUGCAGAUUCCCCCUCCAUCCAAGUUCAGUCUUCACUAUCUCAGGAAGAUAUCCACCUAUGUGCGAACACGGACCAUAGAGGGAGGUUACCCACGCCUGUCUUGGUCUACGUGGAGGCACAUUGCAUGUGGGAAGCUGCAGUUGGCUAAGGAUCUGGCAUGGCUUUACUUUGAAAUGUUUGAUAGUCUUGCACUGAAGACACCAGAGGAGCGCCUGGAAUGGUCUGAGAUUCUGUCCAACUGCGUGUCUGAGGAUGAAGUUGAAAAGCAAAGAAAUCAGCUUUCAGUGGACACCCUGCAGUUUCUGCUCUUCUUACAUAUACAGCAGUUAAACAAGGUCUCCUUGAGGACAUCUUUGAUUGGAGAAGAGUGGCCUAGUCCCAAACACAGAUCUCAGUCUCCUGACCUGACUGAAAAAUCCAGUUGUCAUAAUAAGAACUGGAAUGAUUACAGUCAUCAGGCUUUUGUCUGUGAUCAUCUGUCAGAUCUCCUUGAGCUGCUUUUAGACCCAGAGCAACUUACUGCAUCAUUUCAUUCAACCCACAGUAGUCUAGUCUCUCGGGAAGCUGUUGUGGCGCUCAGCUUUCUUAUCGAAGGUACAGUGAGUGGAGCCAGGAAGAUAUAUCCGCUCUAUGAACUUGCACUGUGGCAACCACUGCAUGCCGAAACUGGCUUCUCAAAGACCUCUAAGACUUUUUCUUUCUACAAGCUGGAAGCCUGGUUGAGAACCUGCUUGACUGGGAAUCCAUUCGGUACAUCUGCUUGCCUCAAGUCUGGCAAGAAAUUGGCUUGGGCUCACCAAGUUGCAGGGACAACCAAGAGAGCGAAGAUUGCCUGUAAUACUCAUGUGGCCCCAAGGAUGCACCGCAUGGUGGUGAUGAGCCAGGUUUACAAGCAAACGUUGGCCAAGAGCUCAGAUACUCUGGUGGGGGCACAUGUAAAGAUCCAUCGUUGUAACGAGUCUUUUAUAUAUCUGCUCUCUCCCUUACGAUCAGUGACAAUUGAGAAGUGCAGAAAUAGCACCUUUGUCCUGGGCCCUGUACAGACUGCUCUUCACCUCCACAGCUGUGACAGCGUUAAAGUCAUUGCUGUUUGCCAUCGUCUGUCCAUCUCGUCGACGACAGGUUGCAUCUUUCACAUUCUGACACCUACACGCCCCCUUAUUCUCUCUGGGAACCAGAGAGUAACUUUUGCCCCUUUUCAUACCCAUUACCCAAUGCUGGAGGACCACAUGGCCAGGACCGGCCUUGCUACAGUGCCUAACUAUUGGGAUAAUCCCAUGAUUGUGUGCAGAGAGAACAGCAGCCCAAGUGUCUUCCAACUCCUACCACCAUGUGAAUUCUACGUGUUUAUUAUUCCAUUUGAAAUGGAAGGGGACACAACAGAGAUACCUGGGGGUCUUCCAUCUGCAUAUCAGAAAGCACUGAGCCAAAGAGAAAAAAAGAUACAGGUCUGGCAGAAAACUGUGAAGGAAGCUCGUUUAACAAAACUGAAGCCCGCCAGGCUCCUCUGUCCAUGGAAUUCUCCAGGCAAGACUACUGGAGUGGGUUGCGUUUUCCUACUCCAGGGGAUCUUCCCAACCCCCAAACCUGCGUCUCCUGCAUUGGGAUCAAAGGAAGCAGUUUCAGGUACUUGUGGAAAACAAGUUUUAUGAGUGGUUGAUUAAUACAGGACACCGUCAGCAGCUGGACAGUCUUGUGCCUCCUGCAGCAGGCUCCAAACAAGCAGCAGGAUAAGACUUCCUCAUCGAAACACUGUCAUUUUCAGGGUCCUGGCAACAUGCGGAUGAACAGAAGAUGGUGCACAUGUUGAAACUGAACGGGGAAGGUGCUCUUGCUGCUUACGAGACUUUGGAGACUUUUCUUCCAUUUAAGACCUUUCUUUACGUUUCCUUCCAAUUUCAUUUGUUACUGUUUACACUGAAUUUUAGCCUAAACUUCUAUUCUAUAAACAUAUUGUUUAUAGAAUAUCAGAAGGCUCAUUUUAUGAUGCUAAAAUGAAAAAGUUGAUGAAGACAUUAUGUUAAUAUUUUUAAAAUGACUUAAGUAUUGAUUUAGUAAACCUUACAUUUUAAGUUGUAUAAUGAAAGGGUUUCAUCCUUUCUAGAGUUAAAUAAGAGUUUUAUAGUUCUUUGUAAGUAUUUAAAUGGAAAUUGCUACGUCUUUUAAAAAAGAAUUGAAAGUAUGACUUGUUGGAGUAUAAGUAUAAAUAUAGCAGAAAAGCAUUUAUAGAAAGAUAUUUUAGUCCUUAACGUAUACAGCAAUGAAAUUGUGUAGAAUUUUUAUUUUUCAUUUUCUGCUUCAAAUUUUCAAUAAAACUCUAAAAAGUAAUUUUCUCCUUUUGAUUAAAAAAUAAAGUUUUAACUUUAGGAAAGGUUUCCAAAGUCAUUCUGUGAUGUUAUAUCAAAAUAAAGUUUACAUUUGAUAGGAGAGUUGUUCUUUAAGAUAAAGGAAAACAGUUUAAUAAAUAAUCUGAUUGCUGAUAAA